rnacentral:rRNA from 1 species
UCAAUAAGCGGAGGAAAAGAAACCAACAGGGAUUACCUCAGUAACGGCGAGUGAAGCGGUAACAGCUCAAAUUUGAAAUCUGGCUCCUCGGGGCCCGAAUUGUAAUUUGUAGAAGAUGCUUUGGGUCUGGGCCUGGCCUAAGUUCCUUGGAACAGGACGUCGUAGAGGGUGAGAAUCCCGUAUGCGGCUGGCGCCCGUGCCCGUGUAAAGCUCUUUCAACGAGUCGAGUUGUUUGGGAAUGCAGCUCUAAAUGGGUGGUAAAUUUCAUCUAAAGCUAAAUAUUGGCCAGAGACCGAUAGCGCACAAGUAGAGUGAUCGAAAGAUGAAAAGCACUUUGGAAAGAGAGUUAAACAGUACGUGAAAUUGUUGAAAGGGAAGCGCUGGCAACCAGACUUGGGCGCUGUUGAUCCGCUAGGGUUCUCUCUAGGGCACUCGGCAGUGCGCAGGCCAGCAUCGGUUUGGGGGGUUGGAGAAUGGCUGGUGGAAUGUGGCUGUCUUUGGGCAGUGUUAUAGCCACCGGUGGCAUGCAGCCUCCCCGGACCGAGGACCGCGCUCGGCUAGG